UAACUCACAUCCACCAACGCCAGGGUAUUACGAGCUUUAGCUUAAAACCCAAAGGACUUGACGGUGUCCCAUCCACCUAGAGGAGCCUGUUCCAUCAUCGAUAAUCCCCGCUACACCUAACCACCCCUUGCCAAUCAGUCUGUAUACCUCCGUCGUAAACUUACCAUGUGAGUGCUCACAGUAAGUUUAAUGGCCACCAUCACCAAUACGUCAGGUCAAGGUGCAGCUUAUGGGGCGGCAGGCAAUUGGCUACAAUUUCUAUACUAGAACAAACGAAACGCUGCAUGAAAUACAGCCACGAAGGCGGAUUUAGUAGUAAAAAGAAAAUAGUGUGUUCUUUUUAACUAGGCCCUGGGACGUGU
rnacentral:rRNA from 1 species